UUGCCAGCCCGCUCAGAAACUCAAAGGAAUUGACGGGGCCCGCACAAGCGGUGGAGCAUGUGGUUAAUUCGAUGCAACGCGAAGAACUUACCUGGUCUUGACAUCCCGGAGACCCUUAGGAAACUAGGGGGUGCUUCCAUCUGGAAGAAUCUGGAGACAGGUGCUGCAUGGCUGUCGUCAGCUCGUGUCGUGAGAUGUUGGGUUAAGUCCCGCAACGAGCGCAACCCUUGCCUUUAGUUGCCAGCAGUUCGGCUGGGCACUCUAAAGGGACUGCCGGUGUUAAACCGGAGGAAGGUGGGGAUGACGUCAAGUCCUCAUGGCCUUUAUGACCAGGGCUACACACGUACUACAAUGGCCGAUACAAAGGGCAGCGACACUGCGAGGUGAAGCCAAUCCCGUAAAAUCGGUCUCAGUCCGGAUUGGAGUCUGCAACUCGACUCCAUGAAGUUGGAAUCGCUAGUAAUCGUGGAUCAGCAUGCCACGGUGAAUACGUUCCCGGGCCUU
rnacentral:rRNA from 1 species